rnacentral:siRNA from 1 species
GCGCAUCCUUAUACUUAUGCUCU